GACACACCUCACCAACAAAACUCUCCAAACCUUCUCCCAAACUUGUCGAAACCAAAUCGGGCCGCAUUGUCAGGCCACCUAAUAGACUGGACUUAUAAACUCUCUUUAAUUGUUUCUUGUAAUAUUGUAUGUUCUGUGUUUUUUUUUAUUUUUACAGGGGAAGAUGUCGCAUACGUCACACUUGUGCCUAUUGAACAUGUGACAGUUGUGUCUCUACACAGUCGGCAGUUACCUCCCGCGUAGUGUGUGAUCGUCCGUAGUCAAAUAAACAUGUCUGCAUCAAAAUUCCGAAGUUACCAAAAUCAGCCGAGUUAUCAGCUGCCUCAUCAGUGAAAGAAAAACCUGGUAUCGUUUAAGUUUUCUAACAGCUGGGACUUUUACUGUGAUGCAGUCUCGAAAAUGUCUUCCCACUCAGAACCAGAGUUGUCACACAAACACCAAGCCCGUUCUUUGGAGAUAAAUGCAUGUCGUUUUCAAACCAUGAUGAUGGCUACACGAGAAGUUUGGAAGUUGGAGGAACUGUUAGAACGUCUUCUUUAUGUUACUUAAUCUUCUCUGAUCAAUAGUCUAGUUUCAGAAAUCACCACCAAAUAUG